GUAUUAGUAGCUAUGAUCUUUAAACUCAAAGAAUUUGGCGGUAUUUUAGUCUUUUUAGAGGAAUCUGUUUUGUAAUUGACAGUACACGAUUAAUUAAACCUAGUUUUGUAAAUUAAUUUGUAUACCGCCGUCGUAUGAUUAUUUUUGAAGAAGUAAAAUUUUCUAUAUAAUAGGUUAUUGUUAUGUCAGGUCAAGGUGCAGUUUAUAAUUAGGAAAUUAUGGAUUACAAUAAAUGUAUUUAUACGGAUGUAUAAUAUAAUGAAUAUAUUGAAGGUGGAUUUAAUUGUAAAUAUAUAUAUUAAUUAUAUAUUGAUUAGGGCUCUAGAAUGUGUACACAUCGCCCGUCGCUCUCGU
rnacentral:rRNA from 1 species